UACAGAGGUCCCAAGCGUUGUUCGGAUUCACUGGGCGUAAAGGGUGCGUAGGCGGUCUGGUAAGUCUGAUGUGAAAUCUCACAGCUUAACUGUGAAACUGCAUUGGAUACUAUCCGGCUCGAGGAAUGGAGGGGAGACUGGAAUACUUGGUGUAGCAGUGAAAUGCGUAGAUAUCAAGUGGAACACCAGUGGCGAAGGCGAGUCUCUGGACAUUUCCUGACGCUGAGGCACGAAAGCCAGGGGAGCAAACGGG
rnacentral:rRNA from 1 species